rnacentral:rRNA from 1 species
UACGGAGGGGGCUAGCGUUGUUCGGAAUUACUGGGCGUAAAGGGCUCGUAGGUGGCCAACUAAGUCAGACGUGAAAUCCCUCGGCUUAACCGGGGAACUGCGUCUGAUACUGGAUGGCUUGAGUUUGGGAGAGGGAUGCGGAAUUCCAGGUGUAGCGGUGAAAUGCGUAGAUAUCUGGAGGAACACCGGUGGCGAAGGCGGCAUCCUGGACCAACACUGACACUGAGGAGCGAAAGCCAGGGGAGCAAGCGGG